UCGGAUUGUAGUCUGCAACCCGACUACAUGAAGCUGGAAUCGCUAGUAAUCGCGGAUCAGAAUGCCGCGGUGAAUACGUUCCCGGGUCUUGUACACACCGCCCGUCACACCAUGGGAGCCGGUAACGCCCGAAGUCAGUGACCUAACCGAGAGGAGGGAGCUGCCGAAGGCGGGACAGGUAACUGGGGUGAAGUCGUAACAAGGUAGC
rnacentral:rRNA from 1 species